AGGAGGUGGUGAUAUUAUUCUCUGUUUUGGAAAACUUAGGUUUCUUUUCAGCACAUUCUCUUGGUGUCAUUUGAGGAGUCUGGGCGUCCGUUUCAAUUCACAUGAAAUAUCGAGGUUUGCACGGUAACAGAGAGACUUUCUCCUUGCAGGUGAUGUCAAAGUCAAUAAUCAGUUCCCAAUAUCAUUGGAAAGUACAACCAGGGGUGUCUAGUGCUGUGGAGUCAACACAACUGGGCUGAACUCAUGGAAACUUUUGGUUCCAAAUAGAGGAAGUCAUAGCAACAACAGCGAUUCAUCUUCCGGCUUUCAUCAGCUCCUCAUGGCCUCGCUGUCAUCGUCAUCUGAGCUAAAAACAAUCCAACCAAGGGAAAGGCAUCUCCUCUCCUGCCAUUCCACUCUCCUCUCCACCACCGAUGGCACAUUCUCUGUAGUUUUUGUUCCUGCCUCCAUUUUGGUGAGUUGUCAUGAAGAAAUAAAGGUAUGUGGUGGUGGGUGGCUUUCCCCCAAGUGUUCAUCUCUUGCAUUUCCAAAUAGGCCCAUUGGGCUACUUUGUGUGCUUCAAGCUAAAAUGGGCUUGUUUCUAAAAAUAGACCUCUGUUCCUGCUGUGCCAUCUGCACCAUCCCUUUGUAUAAACCAAAA
rnacentral:lncRNA from 1 species